GGUAUUGAUUGGUGCUUGCAUCAUGAUUUACAUUUGAGUGAGUGGCGAACUGGUGAGUAACACGUGGGAAACCUGCCCAGAAGCGGGGGAUAACACCUGGAAACAGAUGCUAAUACCGCAUAACAACUUGGACCGCAUGGUCCGAGUUUGAAAGAUGGCUUCGGCUAUCACUUUUGGAUGGUCCCGCGGCGUAUUAGCUAGAUGGUGGGGUAACGGCUCACCAUGGCAAUGAUACGUAGCCGACCUGAGAGGGUAAUCGGCCACAUUGGGACUGAGACACGGCCCAAACUCCUACGGGAGGCAGCAGUAGGGAAUCUUCCACAAUGGACGAAAGUCUGAUGGAGCAACGCCGCGUGAGUGAAGAAGGGUUUCGGCUCGUAAAACUCUGUUGUUAAAGAAGAACAUAUCUGAGAGUAACUGUUCAGGUAUUGACGGUAUUUAACCAGAAAGCCACGGCUAACUACGUGCCAGCAGCCGCGGUAAUACGUAGGUGGCAAGCGUUGUCCGGAUUUAUUGGGCGUAAAGCGAGCGCAGGCGGUUUUUUAAGUCUGAUGUGAAAGCCUUCGGCUCAACCGAAGAAGUGCAUCGGACACUGGGAAACUUGAGUGCAGAAGAGGACAGUGGAACUCCAUGUGUAGCGGUGAAAUGCGUAGAUAUAUGGAAGAACACCAGUGGCGAAAGCGGCUGUCUGGUCUGUAACUGACGCUGAGGCUCGAAAGUAUGGGUAGCAACAGAUUAGAUACCCUGGUAGUCCAUACCGUAACGAUGAUGCUAGUGUUGAGGUUUCGCCCUCAGUGCUGCAGCUACGCAUAGCAUCCGCCUGGGGAGUACGCGCAAGCUGAACUCAAGGAAUUGACCGGGGCCC
rnacentral:rRNA from 2 species